GACGAACGCUGGCGGCGUGCUUAACACAUGCAAGUCGAACGGAAAGGCCCUGCUUUUGUGGGGUGCUCGAGUGGCGAACGGGUGAGUAACACGUGAGUAACCUGCCCUUGACUUUGGGAUAACUUCAGGAAACUGGGGCUAAUACCGGAUAGGAGCUCCUGCUGCAUGGUGGGGGUUGGAAAGUUUCGGCGGUUGGGGAUGGACUCGCGGCUUAUCAGCUUGUUGGUGGGGUAGUGGCUUACCAAGGCUUUGACGGGUAGCCGGCCUGAGAGGGUGACCGGCCACAUUGGGACUGAGAUACGGCCCAGACUCCUACGGGAUGCAGCAGUGGGGAAUAUUGCACAAUGGGCGGAAGCCUGAUGCAGCAACGCCGCGUGCAGGAUGACGGCCUUCGGGUUGUAAACCGCUUUCGCCUGUGACGAAGCGUGAGUGACGGUAAUGGGUAAAGAAGCACCGGCUAACUACGUG
rnacentral:rRNA from 1 species